GGGAUUGCCCUAGUAACGGCGAGUGAAGCGGCAACAGCUCAAAUUUGAAAUCUGGCUCUUUCAGAGUCCGAGUUGUAAUUUGCAGAGGGCGCUUUGGCUUUGGCAGCGGUCCAAGUUCCUUGGAACAGGACGUCACAGAGGGUGAGAAUCCCGUACGUGGUCGCUAGCUAUUGCCGUGUAAAGCCCCUUCGACGAGUCGAGUUGUUUGGGAAUGCAGCUCUAAAUGGGAGGUAAAUUUCUUCUAAAGCUAAAUAUUGGCCAGAGACCGAUAGCGCACAAGUAGAGUGAUCGAAAGAUGAAAAGCACUUUGGAAAGAGAGUCAAACAGCACGUGAAAUUGUUGAAAGGGAAGCGCUUGCAGCCAGACUUGCUUGCAGUUGCUCAUCCGGGCUUUUGCCCGGUGCACUCUUCUGUAGGCAGGCCAGCAUCAGUUUGGGCGGUGGGAUAAAGGUCUCUGUCACGUACCUUCCUUCGGGUUGGCCUUAUAGGGGAGACGUCAUACCACCAGCCUGGACUGAGGUCCGCGCAUCUGCUAGGAUGCUGGCGUAAUGGCUGUAAGCGGCCCGUCUUGAAACACGGACCAAGGAGUCUAACAUCUAUGCGAGUGUUUGGGUGUCAAGCCCGAACGCGUAAUGAAAGUGAACGGAGGUGGGAACCCGCAAGGGUGCACCAUCGACCGAUCCUGAAGUUUACGGAAGGAUUUGAGUAAGAGCAUGGCUGUUGGGACCCGAAAGAUGGUGAACUAUGCUUGAAUAGGGUGAAGCCAGAGGAAACUCUGGUGGAGGCUCGCAGCGGUUCUGACGUGCAAAUCGAUCGUCAAAUUUGGGCAUAGGGGCGAAAGACUAAUC
rnacentral:rRNA from 1 species